rnacentral:rRNA from 1 species
UGAGGAAUAUUGGUCAAUGGGCUUACGCCUGAACCAGCCAAGUCGCGUGAGGGAAGACUGCCCUAUGGGUUGUAAACCUCUUUUGUCAGGGAGCAAUUGGCGCUACGUGUAGCGUUAUCGAGAGUACCUGAAGAAAAGCAUCGGCUAACUCCGUGCC